GACGAACGCUGGCGGCGUGCCUAAUACAUGCAAGUAGAACGCACAGUUUAUACCGUAGCUUGCUACACCAUAGACUGUGAGUUGCGAACGGGUGAGUAACGCGUAGGUAACCUGCCUGGUAGCGGGGGAUAACUAUUGGAAACGAUAGCUAAUACCGCAUAAUAUUAAUUAUUGCAUGAUAAUUAAUUGAAAGGUGCAAUUGCACCACUACCAGAUGGACCUGCGUUGUAUUAGCUAGUAGGUGAGGUAACGGCUCACCUAGGCGACGAUACAUAGCCGACCUGAGAGGGUGAUCGGCCACACUAGGACUGAGACACGGCCCAGACUCCUACGGGAGGCAGCAGUAGGGAAUCUUCGGCAAUGGACGAAAGUCUGACCGAGCAACGCCGCGUGAGUGAAGAAGGUUUUCGGAUCGUAAAGCUCUGUUGUAAGAGAAGAACGGGUGUGAGAGUGGAAAGUUCACACUGUGACGGUAUCUUACCAGAAAGGGACGGCUAACUACGUG
rnacentral:rRNA from 1 species